rnacentral:rRNA from 1 species
GAUGAACGCUAGCUACAGGCUUAACACAUGCAAGUCGCGGGACCGGCGCACGGGUGAGUAAAGCGUAUCCCACCCGCCCGUCACCAAGGGAUAACCCGGCGAAAGUCGGACUAAUACCGUAUGACGAAGGCUGGGGAUGCGUCAGAUUAGCUUGGAGGCGGGGUAACGGCCCACCGUGGCUACGAUCCGUAGGGGUGCGGAGAGGAAGUUCCCCCACACUGGAACUGAGACACGGUCCAGACUCCUACGGGAGGCAGCAGUGAGGAAUAUUGGUCAAUGGGCGUAAGCCUGAACCAGCCAAGUAGCGUGCAGGACGACGGCCUAUGGGUUGUAAACUGCUUUUAUGCGGGGAUAGGUACCGCAUGAAUAAGGACCGGCUAAUUCCGUGCCAGCAGCCGCGGUAAUUC